CUCCGGCUCUAAAACUUGCCACAGUCUCUCCUUCUGCUUUAUGCCCCUCGGUUGAAUUCUUUCUUCUGAGCAGGCAAGAGUUGAGGUUGCUGCAGACCCUACGGAUUUGCCACAGGUAACAGAAGCAGACGGCUGCCUCAGGGGAAUGUUCACAAAAGGCACUUCUGCAAAAGGGCUGCCUGAGCUCAGCUUUGAGAUUUGAGUAGGGCUUGUCUGCUCAGACAGAGGAGUCCUGAGCCUGGACCCAGGUGGUCCCACAAGAGAUAUGCUGAAGUGUUCAUUGUGGAACAGAGAGUUUGUGAAGACUUGAAGCUACGUUCACAAAUGCUCUGAAGACAGAACUUUUAUAUUUUGAAAACAGAGUUAUGCUGCCGGUCAAGUUGCCUAUGACUAACGCACAAGGAUCAAGAAUUCUGACUUAGGUCACUGAAUCAAGAGAUGGCCACACCCAGAGUUAUGCAGAUAACUCCACAUGCCCCAGAAGUCCAGAUCACCUCGGAGGUGCUGAAUGCAGUGAGCAGGUGUGUUUCUGUCAGAGUACUUUGAAAACCAUUACAUUGAAAAUGUUGCUAUCUUCUGUGUUUGAAGGUGGUCUGCUGCCUUUAUUCAACAGAAGACCAGAGAUCCCACCCACGCAUGGUAUCUGAAGGACUGGAGGAGGAAAAAAAGACAGCAAGUGGAAGUGCCCUCAUUUGAGACUGCAUUUGAAUGAGCAGUAAGUAGUGGGUAGUUGAACCUAUAGAGGCUGAAGGGCCUAGAGGCAUUGUGGACAAGGCUCCUUGGCAGCUGAAAGAUGAGUGGUGUGCUAUGAAUCCCAUCUUACCUAUAAGAAUGGUACACUUUAAUUGGAGGGUUCUUAUGGUUUUU